rnacentral:misc_RNA from 1 species
AGCAGCCGCGGUAAUUCCAGCUCCAAUAGCGUAUAUUAAAGUUGUUGCAGUUAAAAAGCUCGUAGUUGAAUUUCGGGAUCAAGGAAUCGGUCAUGCCUCGGUAUGUACUGGUUUUAUUGGUUCUCACCUUCUAAAGAACCAUGAUGUCAUUCAUUUGAUGUUAUGGGGAAUUAGGACUGUUACCUUGAAAAAAUUAGAGUGUUUAAAGCAGGCUUACGCUUGAAUACAUUAGCAUGGAAUAAUGAAAUAGGACAUCAGAUUCUAUUUUGUUGGUUUCUAGGAUCGAUGUAAUGAUUAAUAGGGAUAGUUGGGGGCAUUAGUAUUCAAUUGUCAGAGGUGAAAUUCUUGGAUUUAUUGAAGACUAACUACUGCGAAAGCAUUUGCCAAGGAUGUUUUCAUUAAUCAAGAACGAAAGUUAGGGGAUCGAAGACGAUCAGAUACCGUCGUAGUCUUAACCAUAAACUAUGCCGACUAGGGAUCGGAUGAUGUUUAUUUUUUUAGUGACUCAUUUCGG